UUGCUUCGGCAGCAAAUAUACUAAAAUUGGAACAAUACAGAGUAGACUAGUAUGGCCCCUGCACAAGGAUGACACAGAAAUUCAUGAAGCAUUCCAUUAAAAA